AGUUUCACUAUCCAAUUCCAGUGAGUAUGAGGGGAGCCCAUGGAGUUUGAAAUGACUCCUUUCUUCUCUCAGGGAUGUGAGAAAAAAUAAGAGAAUUUGGGUUGGCUUAGUAGCACUAUUUUGUGAGUCUUAGCUUGAGUUCCCUCGGGAUGGAGACCAACUGCUUCUUUCCGAAUCUUAGGGAAGUUGACCCGUUUUCUCCCAACUGUCCUUAUGGCUCCUUCCUCCAUCUCCUGCUUGGGGCCUCUGUGGACUCUCAUUUGCUGCAUCAGCACAUGAAGGUUCCCUGACUUGGCACCUCCUUAUGCUGAACAUCAGCAGACUCCAUACUGAGUAGGAUUUGGGAGUACAGCUGUUAAUACCAAUAAUUAUGUAACCCUACUCGAUGCCCUCUUAGAGCACGCCGCAGAAAAAUAGAUUGAAAAAGUGAACAAAAAUAUAAACAUCAUGUGUGGUAAUGGCUUCCAAGCAAAGAAUCUGAACCUUACAGCAGCCCCACCUAAGAUUUAUGAACAGGAAACCGGGAAGGGGAAUGACAUUUGAAGUUUUUUAGCAGGUGUGCUUCCUGACCAAAGAAGUCAGAUGAGUGCAUGAGCAGCCCCUUCAAGGACAAGGCUUGGAUUCCCAGGAGCAGACAAGGAACUCUGUGGGCAUACUCCAAGGAAUCUGGACCUCCUCUGUCACAGGACAUCCACUGUUUAAGCACCACCACUACCUCAGAAAGUCCACUGUCUGUGUGUCAACUCCACUGUUACAGGACCAUAAGUGUCUCAGCACUUCAACUAUCACAGCACUUCUACUAUUCAGGAGCUCAAGAGUCUCAGCAUCUCAAGUGUCACAGGACCUCCUUUGUCCAAGAACUGGACUGUCCAAGCAACACUACUAUUGCGGGACCUCCACUGUCACAGGACUUCCACUGUAGGAGCACUACAACUGUCUCAGGACACCCACUGUCCUAUAACCUCCACUAUCCCAGGAAUUCCACUGUCGUAGCACCACCCGUAGCAACUAAAGUGUUUCAGGACAUCAACUGAAGCAAGAUCUCCCAUGAUUCUGCAACUUCACUGCCACAGGAUCUCUACAGUGACAGGAAUACCCCUGUAUCAGCAAUUCCAAUUUUGCAGGACCUCCACUGUAGCAGAACCUUCAAUUGUGCAGCAGCUCCACUGUAGGUAGAUUGACCUCCAUGAUCUCAGUGCAUCGAUUUUCAAAGGACCUUCACUGUCACAGAACCGGCGCUAUUUCAGUGCCUCCACUGUCGCAGGACCUACCUCUUCACAGGAUCUGCACUGUUGCAGCAACUGUAAUUUCAAUUUUUCAAAGUCAUUGCUGUUUAUAUUUGAGGCUGAAUGAAAUGUGAUGCUACUUUUGAAAGCAUAAGAAUUUGUUCUAUAGCUCUUGUGAUAAAUGCCGUGUGUGCUUGGACCAGUAAACUAUGGAAGACUUCAUGAGCUCAUACCACUCUCCACCUCACUUUGUGGAAGCUGGUGUUUUUAGAGUGUGAUAAACUUCAGGUGAAUGGAUGCAUUCAGCUGCACCACGCUCUAGAGUGGGCUACACAGCCGACAUAUUGAAUCCUUGCUGGGAAGAGAAGAAAUCCAGAGGAGGGAGAAGGCUUGGGUUGGGGGAAGUAUCAUAAAAUACUUAGAAGAUAUAAGAAGGUAAGAAUUAUGGGGAACUGGAAAACAGAGCCAGAGGAAGAAUGAGCACAGAGCAAACUGGGAAGGACAAAGUACAAAGGCACUUGGGUUUUGCCAUCUGCAUGUUCUCUGGAAAAUCUCCCUUGGCCUCAUUUCUGGGAGAAAACUCUUCCUCCACCCCCUUGUAAGGUUUCAUUCUUGAAGGAAAGCAGCAACACAACUUCAUCAGUGAAUUUCCCCAUUGGAAUUGGUUCAUCCUUUAAUGCCUCUGGGAAAUCCCCAGAUGGGGAAUGUCCUGCUCUCUGCUGAAGGACAGCAGGAAAGUAGGUUGUCCUCUGUUUUCUCGUUGCUACAGCUCUUCUAAGUGUGGAUGAUUGUUGAGUGAAGACACAGGACACUUCCGGUGUGUAUGUAUGCUUUGUUCACUGUGGGUGUUGUCGGGAGUGUCCUGAAAAGAAGAAAGGCAUGCCCAAUGGCUCUUUGCUUCCUCUUUGACUAGCCUUAUGAUCAUAGGGAGACACUAGGCCAUUGGAAGAUGAGGAGAACAAUGUGUCUAUGUUGUGUUCACUUCUAUUCCUAUUUAGUCCUAGAGGGAAAUCAGCAAGGGUAGAGAAGGGGACCGUAACUGGACAAAGCUGCUGAGCCUGUGUUGUGAAGCAAUUCCUGUGUAUAACUUGUUACAUUAAGCAAUAGGAUGCCAUGUUCUGUUUAUACCUUUUUGAUGCAAUGAAUCUAUAAUAUUUUACCUCAAACCCCAAUAUAUUACGUUUCUUCCUCUUUUGGAGAAUCUGGCAUGAGAGGGAUCACUUCUUCAUAAGGAUUUGUGAACCUCUUCCAGUUUUCAUUGACCAGGGGUACAUCAUCACCUCUGUGACUGUCAGCCCAUAGUUUGGAUUUACUUUCAGUAAUAGGCUAAGCUGUCUCUUCUGACAACCCACAGUGAGCAGGGUACACACCUGCUACAACUUGUCUUCUGAACUGUUGUAUGUCAACAGAGUCAAAUACAACAGUGAAAUAUAAGCCUACUCCUAAGAUCCAUAUGUUGGUUUUUUUUUUUUUUUUUUUGCACCACCAUAAAGUUGUCCUAGGAAGAGAUCAGGUGCACCAAUAGGGUAAGCACCAUGCUGCCAGUUCAGCAUUUGCCCAGAUUUGUCUUGAGUUGAAGGCCAAAGUCGAUGCUUUUGACUUUUCUGUUCUUCUUUAACAAAAUAUAAUCUGGUUUCAGGUCACUGUGAACUUAUACAGUGCCCAUAGCCAUAGAUAAAGCCUGCUAAUAUUUGCCUAAAUAUUUCCUUGGCUCCUUCCUCCUCUCGGUGGAAAGACUUUCAGAUGUAUUUGUAAAGCUGUAAAAUUUCAACCAGUUUCACGAUAAGUUAUUAGAAUUGUCUCAGACUCAAUUGGAGAAGCAAGAUGAUGUUGGGGUGGAUGAAAAACUUCAUUAUAUUGCCAUGGUCAUGUUUGGCUGGCACCAUUGCUUCUUCUUUGCAUGCACUUUGAUAACCCCUGUAGCAGAACUUCCACUGUCCCAGCACCUGAACUAUCCCAAGACCUCCACAGUCAAGGACCAAUAUUGUGGUAGGGCGUCUGUGGUCAGGCAACUCCUCUGUCUCAGACCCUCCAAAUUGCAAGACCUUUACGGGCACUGGAAGUCACUGUCCAUAAACUUCCACUGUUGGAGUACCUCAACUAUAACAAGGACCUCUACUAUUGUACAAUCCCCUUGUCAUAGCACGUCUAUUGUUACAAAGUAGUCCACUGUCAAAGGACCUCCAGGGUCUCAAUCUCUCCACUGUUACAGGAUCUCUACUGUCUUAGGACCACUGCUGUUGGAGGACCUCCUGUCUCUCAGCAACUUCAGUUUGUUGGAGCUCUCCUAUCAGAGGACAUUUACAUUUGCUGUACUUCCAGUGUCACAGCUGUUAUAAGAACCUCCAUUCUCACAGGACCUCCAGUGUGUCAGUACCUCCACUGUCCAAGGACUUUUAUAUUGUAGGACCUCUACUGUCCUACAGAAUGUCCACUGUCGCUAGAUUACCACUGUCACAACACCACAACCAUUACAAGAACUGAAAUUUUGGCAUGACCUCCAGUGUUCCAGCCCCUCCAGUGUCAUAGGACCUCCACUAUCCCAGGACGUCCACUGUCUCACCAAGGCCAAUUUAAAGGACCUCUACUAUAACAGGUUAUCCACUGUAGCUGGACUUACACUGUUGCAGUACCUCAACUGUUGCAGGACCAACAAGGUUGCAGGACAUAGACACUCUCAGCAGCUAGAAUUUGCAGGACCUCUACUGGCACACAAAUUCCACAGUUGCUGGAGCUCCACUGUCACUGCAAAUGCACUGUCUCAUGAUAUUCACUGUUGCUGGACCAGUAGUGUGGCAGUACCUCCAUUUUUGCCAAGCCCCUCCACUGACGCAAGACUUCCACUUUUGUAGCACCUUCACUGUCCAAGCAAACCAACUCCUGCAGGAUCUCCAUUGUCUCAGGGCAUUCACUAAUGCCAACUCUCCAAUGUUGUAGUACUUUUUAAAAAUUCCUCUAAAAAAGGUUACUUUGUUAUUUACAAAUUACAAUUCAGGUGUUGAGAAAAUAAAUAAGGUCAGUUUCCCCCCUAGAUACUAAGUAAAUAAAAUGUUUUUCUAGACACAA